UCUGCCCUAAAGACUGGGAUACCACUUGGAAACAGGUGCUAAUACCGGAUAACAACAUGAAUCGCAUGAUUCAAGUUUGAAAGGCGGCGCAAGCUGUCACUUUAGGAUGAGCCCGCGGCGCAUUAGCUAGUUGGUAGGGUAACGGCCUACCAAGGCGAUGAUGCAUAGCCGAGUUGAGAGACUGAUCGGCCACAUUGGGACUGAGACACGGCCCAAACUCCUACGGGAGGAGCAGCC
rnacentral:rRNA from 1 species